CUGAGCACAUCCUAGACGCCUGCCCUCAUGAGCCCCUGACACUUGAGGGCUCCAGUCUGCUGAGCAGGCCAGGAGAGCCACUUGCUGACAGUGCUGACUCCUCUGUGCCCUCAGGGCGGCACUGUCCAUGGGGACUGUUAGUUGCCCCAGGGAUAGAAACAAGAGAGGCAGCUGUGGGAAUAGGGCUACCUCAGAAGGCUGUGUCCAGCCCAGCAGAGACUCCUUGCUUCCCCACUAUAUCAGACUAGACCUGAGAGUCAGAGUCCAGGCCUGAGGCCAGCCCAGCUUCCUCACAGAGCCCUUAUCAUCAACCCCAGAACAUAGAUCAAAUCGGGACGAGGGGGAUAGUUUUGUUUGUUUGUUUAAAUUAAAGCUGGUUUUGUCACGGUA
rnacentral:lncRNA from 1 species